rnacentral:rRNA from 1 species
GACGAACGCUGGCGGCGUGCUUAACACAUGCAAGUCGAACGGUAAGGCCCUUCGGGGUACACGAGUGGCGAACGGGUGAGUAACACGUGGGUGAUCUGCCCUGCACUUCGGGAUAAGCCUGGGAAACUGGGUCUAAUACCGGAUAGGACUCCGGACUGCAUGGUCUGGGGUGGAAAGCUUUUGCGGUGUGGGAUGGGCCCGCGGCCUAUCAGCUUGUUGGUGGGGUGAUGGCCUACCAAGGCGCCGACGGGUAGCCGGCCUGAGAGGGUGACCGGCCACACUGGGACUGAGAUACGGCCCAGACUCCUACGGGAGGCAGCAGUGGGGAAUAUCGCACAAUGGGCGCAAGCUUGAUGCAGCGGCGCCGCGUGAGGGAUGACGGCCUUCGGGUUGUAAACCUCUUUCAGCAUCGACGAAGCGAAAGUGACGGUAGGUGCAGAGGAAGGACCGGCCAACUACGUGCCAGCAGCCGCAGUAA